CAAUAGCGUAUAUUUAAGUUGCUGCAGUUAAAAAGCUCGUAGUUGGAUUUCGGGUGGGAAUGGCCGGUCCGCCGUUUCGGUGUGCACUUGCUACGCCCACCUUGCUGCCGGGGACGUGCUCUUGAGUUCACGCUCGGGACACGGAGUCGGCGAGGUUACUUUGAGUAAAUUAGAGUGUUCAAAGCAGGCCUACGCUCUGAAUACAUUAGCAUGGAAUAACACGAUAGGACUCUGGCCUAUCUUGUUGGUCUGUAGGACCGGAGUAAUGAUUAAGGGGGACAGUCGGGGGCAUUCGUAUUUCAUUGUCAGAGGUGAAAUUCUUGGAUUUAUGAAAGACGAACUACUGCGAAAGCAUUUGCCAAGGAUGUUUUCAUUAA
rnacentral:rRNA from 1 species